rnacentral:lncRNA from 1 species
UAAAAACCAGUGCAAAUUUCGUGUUUCUUUGUCAAUCCUCAGGCCUGUUUACAUGGAGAGGUGGCGAAUACCUUAAAUGUUACGAUCCUCGUGCCAAGUAGGAUAGAUUAGGAGAGGUGGUACAAAUGCAUGUAGAUACCAAGACUUGCAUGAUUCCCAAUAUUAUUGCACAUUCGGUAGCAAAGAUGUUGACACCACAUGUCGUCUGAUGAUGACUUUUACGGGAUCGAAUAAGGUUUGGUCAUUGUAUUCCCUGAAAGGAAUGAGAGGAGAAAAGAAACUGGAAGACCUGGCUAUCUGCAGGCCAAUGCUGGCUGCAGGUCAAUAUUGAAUGCUCUUAUGAAAACUCAUAAGACAAUAACAAAAAAAAGAAGCUGAGGAUGCUGUUUUU